GAUGAAGAACGUAGCGAAAUGCGAUACGUAAUGUGAAUUGCAAAUUCAGUGAAUCAUCGAGUCUUUGAACGCACAUUGCGCCCCCUGGUAUUCCGGGGGGCAUGCCUGUCCGAGCGUCAUUGCUGCCCUCAAGCACGGCUUGUGUGUUGGCCCCGUCCUCCGAUCCCGGGGGACGGGCCCGAAAGGCAGCGGCGGCACCGCGUCCGGUCCUCGAGCGUAUGGGGCUUUGUCACCCGCUCUGUAGGCCCGGCCGGCGCUUGCCGAUCAACCCAAAUUUUUUAUCCAGGUUGACCUCGGAUCAGGUAGGGAUACCCGCUGAACUUAAGCAUAUCAAUAAGCGGAGGA
rnacentral:misc_RNA from 1 species